GCCGGUGUGGUGGAACUGGCAGACGCGCCGGACUCAAAAUCCGGUGAGGGCAACCUCGUGGGGGUUCGACUCCCCCCACCGGCA
rnacentral:tRNA from 1 species